UACGGGGGGGGCAAGCGUUGUUCGGAAUUACUGGGCGUAAAGGGCUCGUAGGUGGCCAACUAAGUCAGACGUGAAAUCCCUCGGCUUAACCGGGGAACUGCGUCUGAUACUGGAUGGCUUGAGUUCGGGAGAGGGAUGCGGAAUUCCAGGUGUAGCGGUGAAAUGCGUAGAUAUCUGGAGGAAUACCGGUGGCGAAGGCGGCAUCCUGGACCGAGAUUGACGCUGAGGAGCGAAAGCUAGGGGAGCAAACAGG
rnacentral:rRNA from 1 species